rnacentral:rRNA from 1 species
GGAAAGCUUGCUUUUCUGAAUCUAGUGGCGAACGGGUGAGUAACACGUAGGUAACCUGCCCAUGUGCCCGGGAUAACUUCUGGAAACGGAUGCUAAAACCGGAUAGGUAGCAGACAAGCAUUUGACUGCUAUUAAAGUGGCUAAGGCCAUGAACAUGGAUGGACCUGCGGUGCAUUAGCUAGUUGGUGAGGUAACGGCCCACCAAGGCGACGAUGCAUAGCCGGCCUGAGAGGGCGGACGGCCACAUUGGGACUGAGACACGGCCCAAACUCCUACGGGAGGCAGCAGUAGGGAAUUUUCGUCAAUGGGGGGAACCCUGAACGAGCAAUGCCGCGUGAGUGAAGAAGGUCUUCGGAUCGUAAAGCUCUGUUGUAAGAGAAAAACGACAUUCAUAGGGAAUGAUGAGUGAGUGAUGGUAUCUUACCAGAAAGUCACGGCUAACUACGUGCCAGCAGCCGCGGUAAUACGUAGGUGGCGAGCGUUAUCCGGAAUGAUUGGGCGUAAAGGGUGCGUAGGUGGCAGAACAAGUCUGGAGUAAAAGGUAUGGGCUCAACCCGUACUGGCUCUGGAAACUGUUCAGCUAGAGAACAGAAGAGGACGGCGGAACUCCAUGUGUAGCGGUAAAAUGCGUAGAUAUAUGGAAGAACACCGGUGGCGAAGGCGGCCGUCUGGUCUGUUGCUGACACUGAAGCACGAAAGCGUGGGGAGCAAAUAGGAUUAGAUACCCUAGUAGUCCACGCCGUAAACGAUGAGAACUAGGUGUUGGGGGAAUAACUCAGUGCCGCAGUUAACGCAAUAAGUU